rnacentral:misc_RNA from 1 species
GAAGAAGAAGAGGAGGAGGAGGACGAUGAUGUCGGUUCAUACUCAAAUCAACGCUACGAUUUCACUCGUCUCCUUCAAUUUCUUUCCACCACCGAACCCAAUUCAGAUAAUUCUUCACCCACACAACUCGACCCCACCGAGUUGCGCUUGGCUGAGUCAUAUCGAGCUGUGCCGGCUCCACUCUGGCACUCUCUUCUCAAAGAUCUCUCCUCCACCCCAUCCUCAAUUUCCAUAGCCUAUGCACUCGUUAUAUGGCUUCAGAAGCACA